rnacentral:rRNA from 1 species
GUGAUGAAGCUACUAAGAGUGUGCGGCGGAUGACUUGGCGUCAAGAGGCGAUGAAAGACGUGGGAGCCUGCGAUAAGCCCAGGGGAGUUGGCAACCAAGCGUUGAUCCUGGGAUUUCUGAAUGGGGAAACCCGGCCCAUAUGGGUCAUCCAUGCCUGAAUGCAUAGGGUAUGGAGGCGAACGUGGUGAACUGAAACAUCUAAGUAACCACAGGAAAAGAAAGAAACCUCGAUUCCGUCAGUAGCGGCGAGCGAAAUCGGAACAGCCCAAACCGUCCUUCGGGGCGGGGUUGCGGGCGCCGACAUGGCAUCUCGGCGAGCAUCGUGAGCGGUCUGGAAAGGCCGGCCAAAGAGGGUGACAGCCCCGUAGCGGUGAGCAAUGAGAGCCUAGGCGUACCAGAGUAGCACGGGACUCGUGAAACCCCGUGUGAAGCUGGAGGGUCCACCCUCCAAGGCUAAAUACUCCUUGACGACCGAUAGCGAACCAGUAGGGCGAUUGAAUGUUGAAAAGUUCCCCGACAAGGGGAGUGAAAAGGACCUGAAACCGCACACUUACAAGCGGUCGGAGCCGUCUUCGGACGGUGACGGCGUGCCUUUUGCAUAAUGAGCCGGCGAGUUAAUCUCUGUGGCAAGCUUAAGCGGUACCCCCGUGGAGGCGAAGCGAAAGCGAGUCUUAAAUGGGCGUUGAGUCGCAGGGAUUAGACGCGAAACCUUAGUGAUCUACCCAUGGCCAGGUUGAAGGGAAGGUAAGACUUCCUGGAGGACCGAACCCGUUAACGUUGAAAAGUUAUGGGAUGAGCUGUGGGGAGGAGUAAAAGUCUAAUCAAACUGGGAGAUAUCUCGUUCUCCUCGAAAUAGUUUUUGGGCUAGCCUUGAGUUACAGCUUUCAGGGGUAGAGCCACUGGAUGGGACUGGGGGCCUAACCCGCUACCCACCCCAACCAAACUCCGAAUACUGAAAGUCUUUGUCUCAGGAGUCAGACCGCGGGGGAUAAUCUUCGUGGUCAAAAGGGAAACAACCCAGACCGCCAGCUAAGGUCCCUAAGCCUGUCUUAGUUCUAAAGGAAGUUAGGAUGCAGUGACAGCCAGGAUGUUGGCUUAGAAGCAGCCACCAUUUAAAGAGUGCGUAACAGCUCACUGGUCGAGGAUCCUAGCGCCGAUAAUGAUCGGGAAUAAGACUGGCACCGAAGCUGCGGACUUGUGCUUGCACAAGUGGUAGAGGAGCGUUCCUGUCAGCGUUGAAGCGAAACGGACAACGUUUCGUCGAGCGGCAGGAAGUGAUUAUGCCGGCUUGAGUAACGAUAAAGCAGGUGAAAAUCCUGCUCGCCGAAAGCCUAAGGUUUCCUGGGCAAGGUAAAUCCGCCCAGGGUUAGUCGGACCCUAAGGCGAGGCCGAAAGGCGUAGUCGAUGGACAGCAGGUUAAUAUUCCUGCACUCCGUUGUGAGGUUGAAGCGGCGUGACGGAUACCCGGGUGUGAGUCGGCCGACCAGACGUGGCCGUCCCGCAAGGGCGAGGGCUUUAGAUCCCGAAGCUCACGAAGGGUGUCCCAAGAAAUAGCGUCCGUGGACGAUCAACGGAUCCGUACUAAAACUGACACAGGUAGGCGUGGUGAAUAACCUCAGGCGCUCGAGAGAAUGGUAGUUAAGGAACUAGGCAAAUUGACCCCGUACGUUCGCAAUAAGGGGGCCCUAACCCUUCGGGGAAGGGCGCAGAGAAAAGGCUCUGACAACUGUUUAUCAAAAACACAGGACUGUGCGAACUCGUAAGAGGAUGUAUACAGUCUGACGCCUGCUCGAUGCCGGAAUGUUAAGGAAGCAGGUUAGCUUGAUUUAUCAGGCGAAGCUUGCGACUCAAGCACCGGUCAAUGGCGGCCGUAACUAUGACGGUCCUAAGGUAGCGAAGUUCCUUGUCGGGUAAGUUCCGACGCGCAUGAAUGGCGUAAUGAUUGGAGCACUGUCUCAACUACCAACUCGGUGAAAUAGAAGACGCGGUGAAGAUACCGCGUACCCGCGGCAAGACGGAAAGACCCCGUGGACCUUUACUAUAGGCUGAUAUUGGCCAAGGAUACGUUCUGCGUAGGAUAGGUGGGAGGCUUUGAAACCCGGGUUCCGGCUCGGGUGGAGCCGUCCUUGAAAUACCACCCUGAUCGUGUUUUUGACCUAACCUCGUCCCGUGAAUCCGGGCGAGGGACCAUGUUAGCUGGGUAGUUUAACUGGGGCGGUUUCCUCCUAAAGAGUAACGGAGGAGCGCAAAGGUCGGCUCAGCACGUUUGGAAACCGUGUGUCGAGUGCAAGAGCACAAGCCGGCUUUACUGCGAGACAGACAAGUCGAGCAGUCACGAAAGUGGGCUCUAGUGAUCCUGUGAUCCCGUGUGGAAGGGUCAUAGCUCAACGGAUAAAAGGUACCCCGGGGAUAACAGGCUGAUCGCAUCCGAGCGUCCAUAGCGGCGAUGCGGUUUGGCACCUCGAUGUCGGCUCGUCACAUCCUGGGGCUGAAGGCGGUCCCAAGGGUUGGGCUGUUCGCCCAUUAAAGUGGCACGCGAGCUGGGUUCAGACCGGCGUGAGCCAGGUCGGUCCCUAUCUGCCGUGGGCGCAGCAACUUUGAGAGGAUUCUUCCUUAGUACGAGAGGAUUAGGAAGGACGUACCCCUGGUGCGCCAGUUGGACCGCUAGGUCCACCGCUGGGUAGCUAAGUACGGCAGGGAUAACCGCUGAAAGCAUCUAAGCGGGAAGCCCCCCUCGAGAUGAGAGUUGCAGGCACUUCGGUGCGAGAGACCCCUGGAAGACGACCAGGUUGAUAGGCCGCAGGUGUAAGGGCAGAGAUGUCCUCAGCUGAGCGGUACUAACGGUCAAUCGCUUUAUCAC